rnacentral:ncRNA from 1 species
ACCGUCUUUAUCAUGGGGAGCUUGGUCGCGCCGAGGAUCGUAAAGUGAGGCCGGCCUUGCUGACACCGUGAAACAACACGCACGCGCCGUGUAGCGCUGCUACGCUGGUGCAAUUUUUGGACCC